rnacentral:rRNA from 1 species
CGCUGGCGGCAUGCCUUACGACAUGCAAGUCGAACGGCAGCACGGGAGCAAUCCUGGUGGCGAGUGGCGAACGGGUGAGUAAUAUAUCGGAACGUGCCCAGUCGUGGGGGAUAACGUAGCGAAAGCUACGCUAAUACCGCAUACUAUCUAUGGAUGAAAGCGGGGGAUCGCAAGACCUCGCGCGAUUGGAGCGGCCGAUAUCAGAUUAGGUAGUUGGUGAGGUAAAGGCUCACCAAGCCGACGAUCUGUAGCUGGUCUGAGAGGACGACCAGCCACACUGGGACUGAGACACGGGCCCAGACUCCUACGGGAGGCAGCAGUGGGGAAUUUUGGACAAUGGGCGCAAGCCUGAUCCAGCAAUGCCGCGUGCAGGAUGAAGGCCUUCGGGUUGUAAACUGCUUUGUACGGAACGAAACGGUGAGCUCUAAUACAGUUUGCUAAUGACGGUACCGUAAGAAUAAGCACCGGCUAACUACGUG